UACGUAGGGUGCAAGCGUUAAUCGGAAUUACUGGGCGUAAAGCGUGCGCAGGCGGCUUUGCAAGACAGAUGUGAAAUCCCCGGGCUCAACCUGGGAACUGCAUUUGUGACUGCAAGGCUAGAGUACGGCAGAGGGGGAUGGAAUUCCGCGUGUAGCAGUGAAAUGCGUAGAUAUGCGGAGGAACACCGAUGGCGAAGGCAAUCCCCCUGGGCCUGCACUGACGCUCAUGCACGAAAGCGUGGGGAGCAAACAGG
rnacentral:rRNA from 1 species